CCCUCUUCUUUUCUCGUUUUUAUUUUUCUCACCGUUUUUGCUUUCUUUCUUCUUUCUGUCCCUUCCUGUGUGUUGUAUUGUGCAUGUGAUUUUGUGUGUGUACAUGUCUUUUCUCUUCCUCAUCCCUUCUGUGUUUUCUGUGCUUAAUUUCUUGUUUUUGCUUCCGUGUUGUGUGUGUUGUAUAUGUAGUAUAUGUGGGUGUGUAUCGUGUGUUUGUAUGGAGGAAGUGGGAAGAGGUUCAAUGGUAGUAUGGGGAAAGUGGGGGUAAUAGGAAGUAGGGUAGUUUUUAGGUUUUUAUUUUUU
rnacentral:lncRNA from 1 species